UUUAAGGCCGGGUGCAGCGACGGUUGCUGUCCAGAUCGGUCCUGUGGCGGUGGUGGUGGGACGUUUGCGUGAACGGUUGAUUUUUUCGGAGUUGUUGGUUCCCGUCGAGACUCCUACGGUCGCGAUGGCCCGUGGGAACCAGCGGGAACUUGCCCGUCAGAAAAACAUGAAGAAAACACAGGAGAUUAGCAAGGGAAAAAGAAAAGAAGAUAGCUUGUCUGCCUCCCAGAGAAAGCAGAGGGAUUCUGAAAUCAUGCAACAAAAGCAGAAGGCUGCUAAUGAGAAGAAAUCUCUGCAGACAGGUGAAAAAUGAUCCACAGUAAUUCGAAGAACCAGGUGGAUCACAGGAUCUGAAAUCAAGAGUUUGUAGAAUGACCAGCCAUUAAAUAUCUAGCAGUUUAUCAUAUCCUUAGACUCGUUUACUUCCUACUUAUUUCUUUUUAGUUCAUGAUAACUUAAGCUGCAUGGUAUAGCAUAGUCUUCUAAAGUAGAACAUUUCUUCAUGCUUAUAAAAAUGAUAAAAAAAAAUUAAUGAAUCCUGUGGUUCAUAUUAAUAGCUAAAAUUAUAUAGAUAAGUAAUUUGAUACCAAAAUUAAGCUUUUAAAUCUUAAGCUUCAAAUCUUUUAUUUCUGUUGUAUCGUCAUAUUAACUUUUUGUUUGAAGUAAAGAUCCAUUACAACUCUUACUAUUGAAUUUAUAAAAAUCAAGUUUCCAUGUAACUUUUUAGAGCAUGUUUGCAUGAAAUAUCUAAACAUGAAACUUCUCUGAUUAGUAAACGUUUUAACAUCAAUCAUCUAAAUUGGCAUCUCCAUAUUUUCCAUUUAACUUUUUUAAAAAUUGGGAAGGUAUGCUGACUACCCUCUUUCAAUCCAGUAUUGACCUUGCCUAUAAAAAUGUUAACUUUCUGAAGAGAACAGAACAGAAUACAGAUCUCUAAAAGAUAUCAGCAUCUAUUAAUAGGGAGUAGAAAUAUAAUUCUGGAGGAAGUAAAAUGCCAUUUAGUGACAUUUUUAUUAAAGUAAACAUGUCCUUCCUCUUCCUUUUUUACAAAUAAAGAAACUGAGACCCCAAGACACAGUUAUACAACCAGUAAAUGCAGAGAUUCCAUCCCAGAUUUUGAGACUUUUUUUUUUUUUAAUAAGAAUCCCAUCUGAUUCAAUAAUGGAAAGAUAAAAUUUUUUUUUAAACUGGACUUGUGAUUUCAUUUGUGUAGGAAAUUCAAUGCAAAUAUGCACCUGCUCUGCAAUUUAUAAGUCUCAGAUUUGCUUGAGGCACCUGAGAUCUUAAGUCCAGAGUCACAAAAGCAUGUAUGUCAAAGAAGGACCUUGAAUCUAGUCCAUCCUGACUCUCAAGGCAAUUCAGUAAUCUAUUCUGCCAUACUAACCCUCAGAUUUAUGGUGGAUAAAAAAAGAAAGCCAUAACGGCUACAGUAACUUAUUUGUGUACAGUAACUAUGUUGCAGAAAUAGCUCAAAUUAUCAUUUGUUCAAAAUUAGACUGGUUGUGUAUUAGGGCAAGGAAGAACUUCUGACUUUCAUAUUAAUAUUUAUAGUAUAUUGUCUCCUUCACUAACAAAAUUUCUUUUUAAAUGACUGGUAUCCACUGUAUUUCUGAUAACAGUAAAUGAAAAUGUGUGAAAACUAUGUAAUACUUUAAAAGAAAGCCACACAUAAUAGUAAGUUUACUGCAAAAGCCCCUUUAAAAAAAAAAAAAAUUUUUUUAUAUGCAAUCAAAUUAGUGGGAUGAUAAAGUAACACUUACCUGGUUUACAAAUAUAUAUUUUUAAUGCUCAAAGCUUUAGCUUUUACUACAGUAGGAUACUAUUUUAGUACUGUGGAAACUGAGGCUGAAAGUACACAGCUAAUACAUGUCAGACAUAGGAUUCAAACCUAAACCACACCUCAGUCCCAAGUUCAGCAUUCUAUUAUAUAUCACAUUGCCCACUCCAUAACCCAAAAAGCAUAUAGUCACAUUUCAGCCUAAAAUAGGUUGUGACAUUCAACAUAGGAUAAUCAGAAAAGGUAGAGGACCUAGUGUUAAGAUAUAGAAAAAUAAGAUUGGUGGUGGAAGAGUAGCAAUACAAAAUAGUCUAAUUUUUAAUAAAUUCAAUGUUAAAUGGGAGACAACAGAAAUAGAGUGGUGGGUAUAUCCGAAGAUCAUACAGGUUAGAGGAGAACCUCUAUAGAAGACCUGAAAAGAAAUAAAUACCAGAAAAUCAGUGGAAAAAAAAUGACACAUUCAAUAAAGUUGUAACAGAAUACAACAUAAAUUGACACAGCAUUUCUCUAUAGUACUAACAGAAACCCAAAAGAAAUAAGAAAUUGCUUUCAAAAUAAAUACAAAAUGCAAAAAGCAAUAUGGAAGUUAAUCUUCCUACUCCAGAAACAUUCUUUAGAAAAGUAAACAAAGGCAAAUAAUUGGAGGACUAUGCCAAUAUUAAAAAAAAAAAAAAUUAUACCUAAAUUUAGGGAGAGGUUCUUUAUAGAA